rnacentral:rRNA from 1 species
UACCUAUCAGAGGGGAAUAACCCGGCGAAAGUCGGACUAAUACCGCAUAAAACAGGGGCACCGCAUGGUGAUAUUUGUUAAAGAAAUUCGGCUGAUAGAUGGGCAUGCGUUCCAUUAGGUAGUUGGUGAGGUAACGGCUCACCGAAGCCGACGAUGGAUAGGGGAACUGAGAGGUUGGUCCCCCACACUGGUACUGAGACACGGACCAGACUCCUACGGGAGGCAGCAGUGAGGAAUAUUGGUCAAUGGGCGGGAGCCUGAACCAGCCAAGUCGCGUGAAAAGGAAGAAGGAUCUAUGGUUCGUAAACUUCUUUUGCAGGGGAAUAAAGUGCAGGACGUGUCCUGUUUUGUAUGUACCCUGAGAAUAAGGAUCGGCUAACUCCGUGCCAGCAGCGGC